UUCUGAACUAAGCACCCCAGUUACUUUGCUUGUUUUGUUCUCUCUCUGUCUGAAAACAGGGAGAAAAGAGUUCCGAGUCCCUGAGUUGCUUAAACUGGGAGACAAAACAUUAUGAAAGCUUUAGCUGUGUUCCCUCCAAAUGUUUCUAGAAGUAACAACCAGACAGAAACAAAAGCCAUUCCCGUUGGUGUGUUGGUAUUCCCCGGUGACUGAGGCUUUGAACAUAAAAGUUUUAUUAAAAUAUAUAUCAUGAAAGAAAAGAGAAACAGUUGUACUUUUUCAAGAAGAAGGUAUUUUCCCCCCAUACACAGGACCAUGGGUCCUUUUUAUCAUAGAGAUGACUUAGCUCCUGGGACAUGUGUGUGGAUUAUCACCACAAUUUCAGUAUCAAGACUCCACCAGCAGAAAUUCAAUUCAACGUGGAAAACUCUUUCAUUGUUGACCUGCUCAAAAACUGAUGAAUGACCAUUUUCUGUAUGCUCUCAAGAUUCCCCGCAGAGGAGUGUUCUGCUUCAUGGCAUGUCCCUUUACACUUGGUCAAGCUUGGGGCAGGUUUAUUUCCGGUUUAGCAGAGUUUGACUUUCUUUUGUCAAUCCCCCACACAGCUCCUUCUUGAUGGAAAGGCCCAGCCAUGGCUUUCCAGCCCCUUGACACCUCUAUUCUCACCUUUUCCAGCCUUUGCCUGUGUUUAUAGCUGUCAGAAUAAAUUCCCAGUUCAUCUUCCCA
rnacentral:lncRNA from 1 species